GAUGAACGCUGGCGGCGUGCCUAAUACAUGCAAGUCGAGCGAACAGACGAGGAGCUUGCUCCUCUGACGUUAGCGGCGGACGGGUGAGUAACACGUGGAUAACCUACCUAUAAGACUGGGAUAACUUCGGGAAACCGGAGCUAAUACCGGAUAUUAUAUUGAACCGCAUGGUUCAAUAGUGAAAGACGGUUUUGCUGUCACUUAUAGAUGGAUCCGCGCCGCAUUAGCUAGUUGGUAAGGUAACGGCUUACCAAGGCGACGAUGCGUAGCCGACCUGAGAGGGUGAUCGGCCACACUGGAACUGAGACACGGUCCAGACUCCUACGGGAGGCAGCAGUAGGGAAUCUUCCGCAAUGGGCGAAAGCCUGACGGAGCAACGCCGCGUGAGUGAUGAAGGUCUUCGGAUCGUAAAACUCUGUUAUUAGGGAAGAACAAAUGUGUAAGUAACUAUGCACGUCUUGACGGUACCUAAUCAGAAAGCCACGGCUAACUACGUG
rnacentral:rRNA from 1 species